CAGGGAGACGCGAGGGCCUGCAGAUAGUUUUAGGGCUCUGAAAGUAGAGAACAGUGUCCACUGGUCUGCAGCAAAGUCUGAAUCAUCUUCUAUGUUCCGAAAGUGUGGUGUGGUCAAGGAGAAGUGGCAGCGUGUGAGCGCUCGCACACCUCUCUUCUCACUUCCGCGGAGGCCGGUCAGGCCUCGCUCUUCCUGUCUGGUCUCCACAUGCGGCCCCGCAAGGAGCCUGCACUGAAAGAGGGGAGGCAGCCAGGAAGGGGCUUCUGGAUGUGAUGAGACCACUGAAGCAGUGACCCCACCGUCUGAGCCACAGACCUGCCACAGAUGCAGACUCCUGUGAACACAGCGGAAAGGAAGGACAUGGUGGAUCCUUUCUAGAUGCCACCCAAAGCCUGUGUGCCCCGAGGCGGUGCUUUUGGAAGCUCCCUUCCUUCACUGUCUUCUUCUGGACCAGUGGAAGUGAGCAGCUUUGCUGACGCUGUUCCUGCCACAGACUGUUCAAGCUGACUGUGGACUGAAAUGUCUAAAACACAUAAACCAAAGCCGAGCGUAGUGGCGCACGCCUGUAAU